rnacentral:rRNA from 1 species
GACGAACGCUGGCGGCGUGCUUAACACAUGCAAGUCGAACGGAAAGGCCCUGCUUGCAGGGUGCUCGAGUGGCGAACGGGUGAGUAACACGUGGGUGAUCUGCCCCUUACUUUGGGAUAAGCCUGGGAAACUGGGUCUAAUACUGGAUAGGACCAUGCUGUAGGUGGUGUGGUGGAAAGAUUAGUUUCGGUAAGGGAUGAGCUCGCGGCCUAUCAGCUUGUUGGUGGGGUAAUGGCCUACCAAGGCGUCGACGGGUAGCCGGCCUGAGAGGGUGGACGGCCACAUUGGGACUGAGAUACGGCCCAGACUCCUACGGGAGGCAGCAGCGGGGAAUAUUGCACAAUGGGCGCAAGCCUGAUGCAGCGACGCCGCGUGGGGGAUGACGGCCUUCGGGUUGUAAACUCCUUUCAGCCAUGACGAAGCCCUUGUGGUGACGGUAGUGGUAGAAGAAGCACCGGCUAACUACGUG